GUUUCCGUGUUGAAUCUUGUUAAAACAAGAACUUUUCCGGAAUGACCCAAUUUUGCCCGACCGAUCAUCAACGCAGCAAUGGCGUAAGACGUAUUGAUCUUUCAGGCAGUUAGCGGGCUGCGGGUUGCAGUCCUUACCGGUAAGUGCUCUAUGGAUUUCACAUUGUAGGAAGGCGGCAAGUCUGGAUACCCCCAGGUUCUUACUCCUGUAAGUGACCAGGGUGAGAAGAUAAAGCCAACGCACCGACAGCGUGAAAGACGACAAGCACAAUGGAAGCUUCUCUGGAGAGUAACACCCAGACUGUUCCCCUGAUAAUUGCGCUGUGUUUCCGUAUGAAAUACAGGCAACCGACACUCUGCGCCUCUUUGAGCUGACGAUAACCGUGAGGUUGGCGACGCGAAUAGACACGAGGCCAUCGGUUCACACCCGGAAAGGCAUUACUCUGCCCGCAGCUUAGUCGUCAA
rnacentral:ncRNA from 2 species